UAGAGGAACUCAAUCACACAGGUAGCUGCACCGAGAGGUUCAUCUUCAGUUCUGAUGGGUUGCCACCAUAUACUGCUAGAUGUCACUGGUAGAUUUUGGGAGCAAUUAGAAUGAUUUUGAUGAUCGAUCAUUCUAAUUGUCUGAAUCAGAAGAGUUCUGAUCCAUCGAAAGGAGUUUCGAUGAUGUCGAUGAUAAGAUCACGACAUAUCUCAUUACCAUAUAGAAUUGAACCUAACUGGGUCACACAAAUAAGGAUU
rnacentral:lncRNA from 1 species